rnacentral:misc_RNA from 1 species
UACGGAGGGUGCAAGCGUUACUCGGAAUUACUGGGCGUAAAGCGCACGCAGGCGGUCUGUCAAGUCGGAUGUGAAAUCCCCGGGCUCAACCUGGGAACUGCAUCCGAAACUGGCAGGCUAGAGUCUUGUAGAGGGGGGUAGAAUUCCAGGUGUAGCGGUGAAAUGCGUAGAGAUGGGGGAGAACACUUGUGGCGAAGGCGGCCCCCUGGACAAAGACUGACGCUCAGGUGCGAAAGCGUGGGGAGCAAACAGG